rnacentral:pre_miRNA from 1 species
UCUUAGGGAUGAGCAAAGAAAGUUGCUUUUUGAGGUAAAAUCUACUCCUGGUGAAGAUGCUAUGAA